rnacentral:lncRNA from 1 species
UUCUAGGGGUCAGAGAUUCUGAGACCCUGCUGCCAGCAUGUUCAGAAGAAAUGAACAAUGAAAGCUUGUUGUUUCUCCAAAUUGACCACCUGUUACUUUAUCAUCUCAUGGAAGAAGUGGCUAGGUCUCCAUCAAGUCUCUGCUACAAAGAAUCAGAAGAGGAUGGAACUAGAAGCAAGAAGCAAACACUCCUGGUCAAGCAAUAGCACUUUAGUAUCCUGCUAUCAUACACAUGUACAUGUGUGAGCACAGUGAUUUGAUGUCAUUGACAUGGAGCCAAGAAAACGCCUGUGUAAAGAAAUAACCAUUGACCAGCCCUACACGUCCGCUGCCUUUGUAUUUUCAUUCACUGGUCCUUUAGCAGACCCCAGAGACUCUUUGCCUUCCCAAGGACACAGCAAACUUUGGGGACAGUGAUAUUGAGAAGACAGGACUGAGAGUUUUAUAAUCCCAUUCCCUCUUUUGCUGGAACAAGUCACCCUGGAGGGAAGGUCUCAGUGAAAAAUCUCAUCUGAGUUGCCUGAGGUUGGUAGCCUGAAAUUGAUAAUGGUGGGAAUGUUUAUACCAUGGAAAUCAGAAGAAGCUCCCAAAGACAGAAGAGUUCCUUGGAGACCAGCUUGGUCAAGGUCACCAGCAUCCAGCCACUCUGACUCAGAGGGAAAUGAAACUCAUACCCCAGAGAGAACAGGCAUGGGUGUGAACAGAGACAGUGUGGCUUGGAAUUUAUGAGUUUUUCUCUUAGGUCAUAAAGAAAGUUGCCACCACCCUGAAGAUCCAUCUUCCUAUUGAAAAAAAAGGAAACAGGGC